AUUGAACGCUGGCGGAAUGCUUUACACAUGCAAGUCGAGCGGCAGCGCGGGGCAACCUGGCGGCGAGCGGCGAACGGGUGAGUAACACAUCGGAACGUGCCCAGACGUGGGGGAUAGCCCGGCGAAAGCCGGAUUAAUACCGCAUGUGAUCUGAGGAUGAAAGUGGGGGACCGCAAGGCCUCACGCGUUUGGAGCGGCCGAUGGCAGAUUAGGUAGUUGGUGGGGUAAAGGCUUACCAAGCCUGCGAUCUGUAGCUGGUCUGAGAGGAUGAUCAGCCACACUGGGACUGAGACACGGCCCAGACUCCUACGGGAGGCAGCAGUGGGGAAUUUUGGACAAUGGGCGCAAGCCUGAUCCAGCCAUUCCGCGUGCAGGACGAAGGCCUUCGGGUUGUAAACUGCUUUUGUACGGAACGAAAGGGCUCUGGUUAAUACCUGGGGCAUAUGACGGUACCGUAAGAAUAAGCACCGGCUAACUACGUG
rnacentral:rRNA from 1 species